rnacentral:rRNA from 1 species
UACGGAGGGGGCUAGCGUUGUUCGGAAUUACUGGGCGUAAAGCGCACGUAGGCGGCUUUGUAAGUUAGAGGUGAAAGCCCAGGGCUUAACCCUGGAAUUGCCUUUAAGACUGCAUCGCUAGAAUCGUGGAGAGGUGAGUGGAAUUCCGAGUGUAGAGGUGAAAUUCGUAGAUAUUCGGAAGAACACCAGUGGCGAAGGCGACUCACUGGACACGUAUUGACGCUGAGG